UUGGGCCGAGCUGGAUUUGAACCAGCGUAGACAUAUCGUCAACGAAUUUACAGUCCGUCCCCAUUAACCGCUCGGGCAUCGACC
rnacentral:tRNA from 1 species